rnacentral:rRNA from 1 species
UACGGAGGGUGCAAGCGUUAAUCGGAAUUACUGGGCGUAAAGCGCACGCAGGCGGUUUGUUAAGUCAGCUGUGAAAGCUCGCGGCUUAACCUGGAAACUGCAUCUGAUACUGGCAAGCUUGAGUGUCGUAGAGGGGGGUAGAAUUCCAGGUGUAGCGGUGAAAUGCGUAGAGAUCUGGAGGAAUACCGGUGGCGAAGGCGGCUCCCUGGACGAAGACUGACGCUCAGGUGCGAAAGCGUGGGGAGCAAACAGG